rnacentral:rRNA from 1 species
CCUACGGGGGGCAGCAGUGGGGAAUAUUGGGCAAUGGGCGCAAGCCUGACCCAGCAACGCCGCGUGAAGGAAGAAGGCUUUCGGGUUGUAAACUUCUUUUAAGAGGGAAGAGCAGAAGACGGUACCUCUUGAAUAAGCCACGCCUAACUACGUGCCAGCAGCCGCGGUCAUACGUAGGUGGCAAGCGUUGUCCGGAUUUACUGGGUGUACAGGGCGUGCAGCCGGGAAGACAAGUCAGAUGUGAAAUCCCGCGGCUCAACCGCGGAACUGCAUUUGAAACUGUUUUUCUUGAGUACCGGAGAGGUCAGCGGAAUUCCGUGUGUAGCGGUGAAAUGCGUAGAUAUAAGGAAGAACACCAGUGGCGAAGGCGGAUGACUGGACGGCAACUGACGGUGAGGCGCGAAAGCGUGGGGAGCAAACAGGAUUAGAUACCCCUGUAGUC